rnacentral:lncRNA from 1 species
UUUUUUUUUUUUUUUAAUAAUUUGCAUUGGGUUUUUUUUUUUUUUAAUUUUUAUUUAUUCAUGAUAGGCACACAGUGAGAGAGAGAGAGGCAGAGACACAGGCAGAGGGAGAAGCAGGCUCCAUGCACCGGGAGCCCGACGUGGGAUUCGAUCCCGGAUCUCCAGGAUCGCGCCCUGGGCCAAAGGCAGGCGCCAAACCGCUGCGCCACCCAGGGAUCCCUGGGUAUUUCUAUUCUUAACUUGAAGAACCUCCAUACUGUUUUCCACAGUGGCUGCAUUAGAUUGCAUUCCCACCAACAGUGCACAAGGAUUCCUUUUUUCUCCAAAUCCUCACCAACACCUAUUGGGAUAGAAGAGCACAGGUGGGGGUGGUCUCUGAAAGAUUUAAAACCAAACUAACUGGGACCCACAGCUGCCAGCACCAGCAGCAGGUUUCUGUGUGUCUGUCCAGGACCCAGGACUUACCUCAGUGGGAGAUGCAGGUGAGGGGACUCUAACAUGCUUAGAGACUCCAGACUCCAGAGGUGUAGGACUGGGGACACUGAGGUAGAGAACAGAAAGCUGAAAACCCUCAGAAGCCAAUUUUAUCUUGGCUCCCUGCCAGCCACUUUUGUGUGGGUAAAAAACUGCUUGUGUGGGCAGGUGGAAUGAUGGGACUGGGACAGGGACUGUGGAGAGCAUUUUCGAUAAUGGGUGGGGUGGAAACAGUGGCCUGGCUGGAGGAGAUCUACUGGUAGGCUGGGUUGGGGCAGAACCUGGGUGGAGCGCUUACCACAAAGACGGGAGAUUGGCACUGGCCAGGCUGUGGCCCCACACUGCUGGGCGGGAGAGAGCAGUGCUUUGGAGGAAUGCUUCUGAUAAUGGGAGAGAAACUGAAAUGGCAGGUGGAACCAAAAUGGCUGGAGGGCUGGGCCAGCGCAGAACCUGGGUGGAGAGUUCCUCCAAGAUGUCUUUCUCUGGCAUUUCUAAUUGUUUGAAUUUGUAUGUUCUGUGGACUGCUCCCUCCCCAUUUUAAGUUUAUGCUUUCAACAGUUUCUAUUAGAGCUUAGAGUUCUAUGGCUACUUGUGUUGAAUGUUUACAGUUUAUCAAGGUGAGAAUGGCUUUCCUCAAAAACAAUUUCCAUGACAAGAAACAGAAGUGCUGGCAAGGAUGUGCAGAAGAAGGACCUCUGGUCAACUGUUGGUGGGGAUACAAAGUGGUGUAGCCACCAUGGAAAAGCAUAUGGAGGUUGCUCAAGAAUGUGAAAGUGUACCUUCUUUAUGACCCAGUAAUUGCACUACUGGGUAUUUACCCAUGGAAUAUGAAAAUACUAACUCAAAAUGAUACAUGUACUGCAAUGUUGACAGCAGCAUUAUUUACAAUAGCCAAAUUAUGGAAAGCAGGUAAGUGGCCGUUGGUAGGGGAAUGGAUAAAGAAGAUAUAUAUAUAUCUCACUCAGCCAUAAAAUAGAGUGAAAUCUUGCCAUUUACAAUGACACGGAUGGAGCUAGAGAGUAUGCAAGUGAAAUAAACUAGUCAGAGAAAAACUACCAUAUGAUUGCACUUACGAAAUUUAAAAAAGAAAACAAAAGAACAAAAGGGAGAAAAGACAAACUAAAAAAUAGAUGUCUUAAGUAUAGAGAACUGGUGGCUACCAAAGGGAAGUAGGUGGAGGAUGAGAGAAAUCGGUGAUGGCAAUUAAUAGGAGUUCUGAGUAAAUACAAAUUUGUGAAAUCACUAUAUUGUACAUCUGAAAUAUAACACUGAAUGUUAACUAUGUUAUUAUUAAAAUUAAAAACUUAAUUAAAAAAUAUAAAUGGACACUUGUGGGCAGCCCUGGUGGCUCAGUGGUUUGGCGCUGCGUUCAGCCCAGGGCUGCCCGGGUAAUUCUAUUUUUAACUUUUUGAGGAAUCUUCAUACUCUUUUCCACAGUGGUUGUACCAGUUUGCAUUUUCACCAACAGUAGUACACAAGGGUUCCUUUUUCUCCAAGUCCUUGCCAACAUUUCUUAUUUCUUGUGUUGUCGAUUUUAGCCAUUUUCACAGGUCUGAGGCAAUAUCUCUGUAGUUUUGAUUUGCUCUUCCCUGAUGGUAAGUGAUGAUGAAUAUCUUUCAUGUAUCUCUUGGAUAUCUGGAUCUCUUCUACCAAAUUCACUUUACUUUUAUCCAAAGUAACUAAUGUAUUUUCAUUAAAAUAUUACUUUAUUUUUAGCACCUUUGUUCUUUUUCUAUUUCAUUUUGGAUAAAAAUUUUUUACUAUAUUAAAUUCGUAAGGUUUCACUGCCAUAUACAUUAUGUGGCAUUUCAUAAGAUUUAAAGUAAAAUUUAGAGUUUUGAUGUUCAUUACAUUUGAAUUCCUUAGUAUUUACUAAGGUUUGAGUAUUAUUGCUCAUAAAAUCUUAACUUUUCAUUCCAAAAUUGUGAUGAUCCCACAAAGAUUGAUUUUUGGAUGAAAAUGUUGCCACAUAUAUUACAUCUUAAGACUUUUCUGAGGUAUUUAUUUACUGGUGUUUAGUAAUGUUUGACUUGCUUAAACAGUGCCCUAUUCAGUAUAAUUUUAAGAUAUUCCCAGUAUGAAUGUCUGACAAGUGAAGAUUGAUCUUGUCUAAAGACUUUGUAAGUUUAUGACUUUUGCAAUUUUUCAAAUAAAUAUGAUAUUUUGUUAUCAAUAAAGAAUGGAUCAAAAGUUUCCCACCGUUAUGCAAAUGUUGGUUUUGACACUAGGAAGAAUUCUUUCAGGUUGUGACAGUAAGGAAUUAUAUAUAUUUUUAAGAUUUUUACUUAUUUGAGAGAGAGAGAGAGAGAGCACACUAAUCAGGGGAGGAGCAGAGGAAGAAGCAGACUCCCUGCUAAGCAGGAAGCCAAAUGCAGGGCUCAAUUCCAGGACCCUGAGCUGAAGGCAGAUGCUUAACUGACUGAACUUCCGAGGUGCCCCAGUAAGGAACCUUUUUUUUUUUUUUUAGAUUUUAUUUAUUUAUUCAUGAGAGAUACAGAGAGAGAGAGGCAGAGACACAGGCAGAGGGAGAAGCAGGCUCCAUGCAGGGAGCCCAAUGUGGGACUCGAUCCCAGGACUCAAGGAUCACGCCCUGGACCAAAGGCAAGGGCCAAAUCAUUGAGCCACCCAGGGAUCCCCAGUGAAGAACCAUUUUGAUAGGCUUCUUUACUUGAUUACAUUUAUAAUGUGCAUCCUCAGUUUUAAAUGUAAGUGACCCAGAUAUAACUGAAAAGAGAAUCCAAUCAUAUUAUCAAAUCAUUUCAUGAAUUUGUUUACUGCACAUUUAAAAAAUUCAGUGUUGGGGAUAGAUUUGGGGACUUUGCAGAAGGAAGAUUAUGCUGUACUAUGUAAUAGUAAAUAUUUAUGCACCCAACAGAGGAGUAUUUUAAUACAUAAAACAAUCACAAACAUAAAGGAACUGAUAAUAAUACAAUUAUAGGAGGGGACUCUAACACCCAACUUACAUCAACAGACAGAACUAAACAGAAAACCAACAAGGAAACAAUGGCUUUGAAUGACACACUGGAACAGAUGGAUUUAACACAUAUAUUCAGAACAUUCCAUCCUAAAAUAACAAAUACACAUUCUUUUCAAGUGCACACAGAACAUUCUCCAGAAUAGACCAUAUAUUGGCCCACAAAACAAACCUCAACAAAUUCAAGAAGAUAAAAUUCAUACUAUUCAUAUUUUCUGAUCAUAAUGCUGUGAAACUAGAAGUCAACCACAAGAGACUUUUUUCACAAAAAAUGUGGACAGAUUACAAAUACACAGAGGUUAAACAACAUGUUACUAAACAAUGAAUGGGCCAACCAGGAAAUGAAAGAAUAAAUUUAAAAAGUAUAUGGAAAAAAAUAAAAAGUAUAUGGAAAUAAAUGAAAAUGAAAGCAUAAUGGUCCAAAACAUAUGGGAUACAGCAAAAGUGGUUCUAUAUGGAAAAUUUCAUAGAAAUACAGGAGUACCUCAAGAAUCAAGAAAAAUAUGAAAUAACCUAAUAUUACACCUAAAAGAGCUAGAGAAAGAACAAUACACAAAACCUAAAACAAGCAGAAUGAAGGAAAUACUAAAGAUUAGGACAUAAAUAAAUCAUACAGAAACAAAAAAAAAAAAUAGAAGAGAUCAAUGAGACCAGGGGCUGGUUCUUUGAAAAAAAAAAUCAAUAAAAUUGAUAAACCUCUAGCCAGACUUAUCAAGAAGAAAAGGGAAAGGACUCAGAUAAAAUCAAUGAGAAAUCACAAAUGAGAGAAAUAACAACCAACAUCACAGAAAUACAAACAAUUAUGAGAAUAUUAUGAAAUACUAUAUGCCAACAAAUUGGACAACUUAGAAGAAACGGAUAAAUCCCUAGAAAUACAAACUUCCAAAACUGAAGAAAGAAAUAAAAAUAGACUGGUAACCAGCAAAGAAACUGAAUUAGUAAUAAAAAAAACUCCCAACAAACAAAAGUCCAGGCCAGAUGGCUUCACAGGUGAAUUCUACCAAACAUUUAAAGAAGAGUUCAUACCUAUUCUUCUCAAAUUUUCUGAAAAAGGAAAAGGAAAGAAAACUUCCCAUAUUUAAUCUAUGAGGCCAGUACUAUCAUAAUACCAAAACCAGAUAAAGACAGUACUAAAAAAGAGAAUAUAGGCCAAUAUUCCUGGUGAACAUAUAUGCAAAAAAAAAAAAAACCCUAAAUAAAUUACUAACAAACCAAAUUCAACAAACUCAAAGAAUCAUACACUAUGUCUGAGUUGCAAGGGUAGUUCAGUAUUUGCAAGUCAAUAUGAUACAUCACAUCAAUAAGGGAAAGGAUAAGAACCAUAUGAUUAUUUCAAUUAAUGCAGAAAAAGCAUUUGACAAAGUAAAACACCCAUUCAUAUUAAAAAAAAAAAUCCUUCAACAUAAUAAGUUUAGAGGGAAUAUAUCUCAACAUAACAAAGACCUUAUAAAAACCUACAGCUAACUUCAUCCUCAAUGGGGCAAAAUUGAGAGCUUUCCCCCUAACAUCAGAAACAAGACAAAGAUGUCCACUCUCACCACUUUUAUUCAACAUAGCAUUGGGGGUCCUAGCCAUAUCAGACAACAACAACAGCAACAAAAAUAAAAGGCAUCCAAAUUGGUAAGGAAGAAGUAAAACUUUCACUAUUUGCAGAUGACAUACAAUAUAAAGAAAAUGCA